rnacentral:rRNA from 1 species
GACGAACGCUGGCGGCGUGCUUAACACAUGCAAGUCGAACGGAAAGGCCCUGCUUUUGUGGGGUGCUCGAGUGGCGAACGGGUGAGUAACACGUGAGUAACCUGCCCUUGACUUUGGGAUAACUUCAGGAAACUGGGGAUAAUACCGGAUAGGAGCUCCUGCUGCAUGGUGGGGGUUGGAAAGUUUCGGCGGUUGGGGAUGGACUCGCGGCUUAUCAGCUUGUUGGUGGGGUAGUGGAUGACCAAGGCUUGGACGGGUAGCCGGCCUGAGAGGGUGACCGGCCACAUAGGGAGUGAGUUACGGCCCAGACUCCUACGGGAGGCAGGAGGGGGGAAUAUUGCACAAUGGGCGGAAGCCUGAUGCAGGAACGCCGCGUGCGGGAUGACGGCCUUCGGGUGGUAAGCAGCUUUCGCUUGUGACGAAGCGUGAGUGACGGUAAUGGGUAAAGAAGCACCGGCUAACUACGU